rnacentral:rRNA from 1 species
CCUCUAGAGAUUUGAUCCUGCCGGAGGCCAUUGCUAUUGGGAUCCGAUUUAGCCAUGCUAGUCGUACGAGUUCAGACUCGUGGCGAAUAGCUCAGUAACACGUGGCCAAACUACCCUUCGGAACACAAUACCCUCGGGAAACUGAGGCUAAUAGUGUAUACCACAUCACCACUGGAAUGAGUGAUGUGCCAAACGCUCCGGCGCCGAAGGAUGUGGCUGCGGCCGAUUAGGUAGACGGUGGGGUAACGGCCCACCGUGCCAAUAAUCGGUAUGGGUCAUGAGAGUGAGAACCCAGAGACGGAAUCUGAGACAAGAUUCCGGGCCCUACGGGGCGCAGCAGGCGCGAAACCUUUACACUGCACGACAGUGCGAUAGGGGGAUCCCAAGUGCACAGGCAUAGCGCCUGUGCUUUUCGGUACCGUAAGGUGGUACCAGAAUAAGGGCUGGGCAAGACCGGUGCCAGCCGCCGCGGUAAUACCGGCAGCCCAAGUGAUGGCCGAUCUUAUUGGGCCUAAAGCGUCCGUAGCUGGCCGCGCAAGUCCAUCGGGAAAUCCACCUGCUCAACAGGUGGGCGCCCGGUAGAAACUGCGUGGCUUGGGACCGGAAGGCGCGACGGGUACGUCCGGGGUAGGAGUGAAAUCCCGUAAUCCUGGACGGACCGCCGAUGGCGAAAGCACGUCGCGAGGACGGAUCCGACAGUGAGGGACGAAAGCCAGGGUCUCGAACCGGAUUAGAUACCCGGGUAGUCCUGGCCGUAAACAAUGUCUGCUAGGUGUGGCUCCCACUACGAGUGGGUGCUGUGCCGUAGGGAAGCCGCUAAGCAGACCGCCUGGGAAGUACGUCCGCAAGGAUGAAACUUAAAGGAAUUGGCGGGGGAGCACUACAACCGGAGGAGCCUGCGGUUUAAUUGGACUCAACGCCGGACAUCUCACCAGCAUCGACUGUAAUAAUGACGACCAGGUUGAUGACCUUGUCCGAGUUUCAGAGAGGAGGUGCAUGGCCGCCGUCAGCUCGUACCGUGAGGCGUCCUGUUAAGUCAGGCAACGAGCGAGACCCGCACCCUUACUUGCCAGCAGUACCGCGAGGUAGCUGGGGACAGUAGGAGGACCGCCGUGGCUAACACGGAGGAAGGAACGGGCAACGGUAGGUCAGUAUGCCCCGAAUGUGCUGGGCAACACGCGGGCUACAAUGGUCGAGACAAAGGGUUCCUACUCCGAAAGGAGACGGUAAUCUCAGAAACUCGAUCGUAGUUCGGAUUGUGGGCUGCAACUCGCCCACAUGAAGCUGGAUUCGGUAGUAAUCGCGUGUCACAAGCGCGCGGUGAAUACGUCCCUGCUCCUUGCACACACCGCCCGUCAAAGCACCCGAGUGAGGUCCGGAUGAGGCGUUCCACGAACGUCGAAUCUGGGCUUCGCAAGGGGGCUUAAGUCGUAACAAGGUAGCCGUAGGGGAAUCUGCGGCUGGAUAAU